rnacentral:rRNA from 1 species
UACGUAGGGUGCAAGCGUUAAUCGGAAUUACUGGGCGUAAAGCGUGCGCAGGCGGUUCGCCAAGUCAGGUGUGAAAUCCCCGGGCUCAACCUGGGAAUUGCGCUUGAAACUAGCGAGCUUGAGUGUGGCAGAGGGGGGUGGAAUUCCACGUGUAGCAGUGAAAUGCGUAGAGAUGUGGAGGAACACCGAUGGCGAAGGCAGCCCCCUGGGUCAACACUGACGCUCAUGCACGAAAGCGUGGGGAGCAAACAGG